GGUAAACUGAUCUAUUCAUUCUAUAAUGGAGGUAAACUGAUCUAUUCACUCUAUAAUGGAGGUAAACUGAUCUAUUCACUCUAUAAUGGAGGUAAACUGAUCUAUUCAUUCUAUAAUGGAGGUAAACUGAUCUAUUCAUUCUAUAAUGGAGGUAAACUGAUCUAUUCAUUCUAUAAUAGAGGUAAACUGAUCUAUUCAUUCUAUAAUGGAGGUAAACUGAUCUAUUCAUUCUAUAAUAGAGGUAAACUGAU